AUGCCUUACACAUGCAAGCCGAACGGCAGCACGGGUGCUUGCACCUGGUGGCGAGUGGCGAACGGGUGAGUAAUACNUCGGAACAUGUCCUGUAGUGGGGGAUAGCCCGGCGAAAGCCGGAUUAAUACCGCAUACGAUCUGAGGAUGAAAGCGGGGGACCUUCGGGCCUCGCGCUAUAGGGUUGGCCGAUGGCUGAUUAGCUAGUUGGUGGGGUAAAGGCCUACCAAGGCGACGAUCAGUAGCUGGUCUGAGAGGACGACCAGCCACACUGGGACUGAGACACGGCCCAGACUCCUACGGGAGGCAGCAGUGGGGAAUUUUGGACAAUGGGCGAAAGCCUGAUCCAGCAAUGCCGCGUGUGUGAAGAAGGCCUUCGGGUUGUAAAGCACUUUUGUCCGGAAAGAAAUCCUUGGUUCUAAUAUANCCGGGGGAUGACGGUACCGGAAGAAUAAGCACCGGCUAACUACNUGCCAGCAGCCGCGGUAAUACGUANGGUGCAAGCGUUAAUCGNAAUUACUGGGCGUAAAGCGUGCGCNGGCGGUUUGCUAANACCGAUGUGAAAUCCCCGGGCUCAA
rnacentral:rRNA from 1 species